AUUGAAGGAAAACAGUGUAAGCUAUCUCGGAAAAAUACUCUGUUUGUUUGAAUUGUUUCGUAAACAUCACAUGAACUGGCCACGAAACAAUAGUUUUGAAAUUCUUCCUGGAACGAAACCAAACAAAUAUUUGGUUGCGGAAACGCGUGACCGUCAUGAGGCAUUUACGAGCAGUGACCCAGUGUCAUCGUCAAGCGCAGGCUUAAAAAUUCCCCAUCUCUUAAGUGUUGU